GUCUGUGUGUGUGUGUGUACUCAGCAGUCUGUGUGUGUAUUCAGCAGUCUGCUAAGUACACAGACAGACUGCUAAGUACACACAGACAG
rnacentral:miRNA from 1 species